ACCUGGCUGGCUCAGUCGGUAGAGCACGCAACUCUUGAUCUCACGGUUGUGAGUUUGAAUCCCACGUUGGGUG
rnacentral:tRNA from 1 species